AAACGUUUUCUCUCAAACGUUCUCAGCCUUCUUUAGCUUUUUGGGACGGUCUGGCCAUCCGGCCGUCGACCUUCCCCUCUCUUCUUUCUCUUUAGUUUUGUUUUAUCUUAUUUGUCGGUGGUUUUCUGUUAGUUUUCUUGCUUUUGGUUACGUCUCCCUCUGUUAAAGUGUAGUACCCCUCUUUAGAUUGAGGUUUUUGUUGCUUGCUUCGGAGAUCGUUCAGCAUAUUGGUCCUUUUGUUCAGAUCAAAUGUCAUUAACCUAAUUUGUCUUCCUUGCUUCUGGUGGUGCUAUGUUACUGGAUGGGUUCCAGAAUACUCCCUAAUCGGCUAGCAUCUCAAAGGUAGAUCUGGUGCCUUCUCACGUGAUGCUGGCGGAUGAUCUUGUAGGCUAUAUGAGAUUGAUAAGUCGGAGCUCUGCCGCCUUGGAUUUACCGAAGGUUUCAUGAUCGUUGUCCUUUAAUUUCACUGAACAAGAUAGAACCGCUGGAGUCACCAGCAAACCACUAUACUCAAGGGCCAAUCCUGAUUUAGUAAUUGUACCCAACAUAGCACAUCAAUAUUAAUAGUAAUUUGCCAGCCAAGAAGAUUGGAUAAGAAGGAACUCAGUAAAACAAUUCAGUAAUAUUGUUAAAGGAAUUGCCUUUGAAUAUGUAUGAAUCUGUCUCCUGAUCAAUACAGUUAAAUGGAGGGAAAAAAAUAGAAAAAAUUUGUCAUGGGGGAAAUUUUCACCGCCAAUUUUAAUUAAUAAUUUCAUUCAACUUAGUAAUUACUAUACCAAACUAUGUUCUAUCUACUUAUGUACAACAUUGCAGAAACUCGCAUAGCCUCGAGCAAAGGAAACAUCAAACAUGUAUGGACAGACAGCAGGGUAGAGUCCAAGACCCCUUAGACUAGCCUGGAAUUGAAACCCCUCCCUAAUGAUCCUCUUUGCUCCACCUGCCUGCAAAAUGUCGUAGAGAACAAUCAAUAGAAUCACAAAUUGUUAGAACCAAUUAAACAAAUUUUCGUAGAAAAUGUUGAAAAAACUAGACAAUCAU